UAUUUUUCUUCCACUUUGAAUAAACCGGUCUCUGAGAUGAGUCAGUCCUUCUGAGAAGUACGCAGAGCUGUAACUAACACUCUUCCCAAUGUCAGAAACCUACAAAGAAAUCUAUCAGCUAAAACUUAGAGAAGGAGAGGGACAGAGACAGAGACUGGUUCUACAAAAGGCCCUUUGAAGACAGAAAAAUAUGAAAACAUUUGGGAGAAAAUAUUCGCAAACUGCAUUUUUAACGAAGGAUGCGCAUCUCGAAUAUAUAACAAACCCUCAAAACUCAACAAGAAAAACAAACAAACAACCAAAACAAUCCAAACAGAAAGUGGGUGAACUAUGUGGGCUAACAUGUCACUGGAGAAGGUGCCCAGAUGGCAGAUGAGCACGUGAAGUGAUCUCCA